CUUGGUGUGAAUUGCAGAAUCCCGUGAACCAUCGAGUCUUUGAACGCAAGUUGCGCCUGAAGCCAUUAGGCUGAAGGCACGUCUGCCUGGGCGUCACGC
rnacentral:rRNA from 1 species